ACCAUCAUCGUACAUUACAUAUACAACCGGCAUGAUACGCAUUUUGAGUACGAUUGAUCGUACGUGGAACAGUCAGUGGGCAACAAAGUAGUGAUUCCAAAGCUAUUUACCAACCUGUUCCUGAUUCUGGGUCAAUCUCGUUGGACGAGGAUUUCGUGCUUUUGCGGUUAUUAGUGGCAGCGGUCGCUAUUAAGGAUUCAGGCCGUCCUAUUGGCUCGCUGAUUCGCUCGUGGAUCGUGAAUGAGGACGAAUCGAGGCUUUUUGCCGUGGUAAAGAUUCAACUGAUUGAAUGCUGGCUACGAUGACGAUUUCUGAAAUGAACUUCGAUGAACUAACUCUGAGUUACAAUGAGAUUUCGAGAUGCAAUCACGAUUGUGCAACGACUCUAUUUCGCUUGCAGGUGUUAGGUGCUGUGUAUUAAUUUUCUGGUUUGAAAAGCAGAAAGUUGGAUACGAUUUUAUGACAUAAAUGUACAAUUAUUAUUACUGCAAUAUUUAUGUUAUAUCAAUUUGAAGCUUGAUGUACAAUGAAAAUGUCUAUUAUACAGAUUUUAUUAACAUGAAGUUUAAUAAUAAUUUAAGGACAUAAGUCUAUCAAAGUACUACUUGUAUCAUAUCGAUUUGAGGCGUAAUGUUUGUUGAAAAUGGCCAUAUUAACUGUUUGUUCGUGUUCUUAAUAUCCUAUUGUUAAUUGCCAAAUGACCACCUUAAUGCAUAAAAACAUGAUAAUAUAUAUGAUUGCCUAACUACUAGUCAAU